AGAACAUCUAUGGAGAAAUGCUAACCAAUGGAUUUCAACCAAGUUGGGGUACCUAUGCUUCACUCAUUCGGGCUUAUGGUAGGGCUCGUUAUGGUGAAGAUGCUCUUAAAAUCUAUAAAGAAAUGAAGGAGAAGGGAUUGGAGUUGAGUGUGGUACUAUAUAAUACACUUUUGGCAAUGUGUGCUGAUGUCGGACUUACAGAUGAGGCUGUUAACAUUUUUGAGGAGAUGAAAAGCUCGGCCUCAGAGACUUGCCAACCUGACAGCUGGACAUACUCUUCUCUAAUCACCAUAUUCUCUUGUAGUGGGAAGGUCUCGGAGGCGGAAUUCACAUUGAAUGAGAUGAUUGAAGCAGGGUUUGAACCAAAUAUCUUUGUCUUGACCUCGCUUAUUCAGUGUUAUGGAAAAGCAGGUCGGACAGAUGAUGUAGUAAGAACUUUCGAUAGGCUGUCAGAUUUGGGAUUAUCUGCAGAUGAGCGGUUUACCGGUUGUCUUCUUAAUGUUUUGACACAAACAGCAAAGGAAGACCUUCACAAGCUAACUAUCUGCCUUGAGAAGGCAAAUCCGAAGCUUGGUUACGUGGUGAAACUCCUAGUGGAUGAUGAAGUUGAAGAAGAAGAA
rnacentral:misc_RNA from 1 species